ensembl:lncRNA GRID1-AS1 GRID1 antisense RNA 1
GAAGACAGACAGCCCGUGACCAAAUUCUGAGAACUCCAACCAUUCACUGGUUGAGUGGAAGAGAACAAGCUCAGAAAAUAAAUGGAGAAAACAUGGUAGGAGGAGCAGAAGAAAAAUGAGGAGAAUGCUGUCUCAUGGAAGACAAGCUAGCAAAGCUUGGAGAAGCCUGAACAAGCUGGUCACCCUCACUGUCAAAGACUUUCAUUUCCACGGAAGGGAAACUGAUGACCUGGGACCAUUGGAAGAACUAGUUAGUAAUUAAUCAGUUGCAUAAUCUUCCCUUAUCCUCUUUUCUAAUUUCCCUUCAGGACUUUAAGGACCCCUUUGAAGAUGAAAAGAAAGAAAGUUUGAGUGGACUCAAUUAAAGUGGGAAGCAGGUGUCUAGGUUCCAGGGCUGCUCAACUCUGGAUUCUGGCAGUUGAUAGAGGGCCUGGCCUUUUUUCUCAGUCAAUUGAGCACUAGCCCAGGGUGUUCAGGAGAUGCUCCCAUUUUGUUAGAGUUUGGAGAGAGGGAAAGCUUAACUUCCUGUCCAAGAAGAAAGCCACAGGGAGGUAGG